rnacentral:lncRNA from 1 species
GCUGAGCCAGGAUGCUGACCCUGGGUGUCUUCCUCAGCAGGGCAAAAGCCCCGGGUCCCAUUCUUCCCAACAGCCAAGCAACCCUGCCUGCAAUGCACUGGGAGCCAGGUACCUCCCAGGGUCUUCCCGUGUAGCUACAACUGUCCCAGGUUGAAGAAGAGCCUUUCUGUUCAUUGGAUCUAUACUUUAGUAGCAGUGGGCAGAGAGAGCUGACGGCAGAGAUCAAUGCAUGCACAUGAACCAGGCAGAGUUCCAAGCCAGUCUCCACUGUUACCUGUCAACAUGUCCUUGAGCGCCUGACUACACCUCAGCUUACCAACCUGAAAGCCAGAAGUCAUCAUGCAGCAUGGCUCUUGCCAAGGAGAUGUCAGCUGGAGGCUGGAAAGCUUUUUAAAGGGAGCAGAUUAAAUUGCCGUGGCCGAUCCACAGCUCCUUUCCUCCCUUCCCUUGUCUGGAACGGGGAUGUGAUGUCUGGAGCUUCAGCAGCCAUACCACACCAUGGGUCCAAUUUGAGAUUGGCAGUAGUUGGCUCGGGUGAUGGAACAGAGGGAGGGAGCCUGUGUCUCUUCUCCCAGGCUGCACUGUGGGGAUGCCCUACCAACCCUGGACUACCUGCCUCUGGAAUCCUGGUUGGCAAAGAGAUAAAUAAAUAAGCCCCUUAACUUUCCUGUGUCACAUUGUCAAUCGUCUUCCUGAUGAGCAAGAACCCCGGUUAGAACUGAGUAAGACUGGGAAGUGCCGUGGAGCCGGAGGGCUCCAGGGGAACCAACAGGGCAGCAGUAAGGAGCUUGCUGUCUCUCCCAUCCCCACCCCCAUUUCCACUCACUCUGCUUUAAUGUGUUGUACUGAAGAGAGGUGACCUAGUUAGGUUUGUCUCAAGAGCAGAUUCUAAGCAAAUAAAUAAAUAAAUACAAAGUUUA